UUUUAACCGAAAACACCAGAUUUUAAGUUUAAUUAAUAACCUCUUGCUAUUAGGGUUUAUAUUAGGAUCAGGUAGAUUAUUAUAAAAUUAAUUUAGGUUGUGAUAAAUAAUUCGGUGGUGUUUAUAUCUGUUUAAUAGUUGUAUACAUUAUAUGUAAGUUUUUGGCUAUGAUGUCAAAGAUUAAUAAAUAUCUUAUUUAGUUCAGUGUUUAAUAUAAAGGUUAAAAUUACCUAUUUGUUAAAUGUGUGUUAUAAUCUUAAUUAUUUCUUAAUUAGAUUUUUUUUAUUAACUAUUUAUGAUAUAAAUUUAUUGAUGUUUUAUAUAAUUAAAUAAGUAAUAUUAAUAUAUAGUUUGUUUCUCAUUAGCUUUCCGUCUGUUUAUUAAAAACAUUUCUGCUUAAAAUUAUAAGCAGUAGAACCUGCCCUAUGCUUUUGUAAAUGGCCGCAGUAUAUUGACUGUGCGAAGGUAGCAUAAUUAAUUGCCUUAUAAUUGAAGGCUUGUUUGAAUGGUUUGACGAGAUAGUAUUUAACAUCCUUUAUAUAUUUGAAUUUAAUAAUAGGGGCACAGAAUCCCUUAUGAUUAAACAGACGGAAAGACCCCGGGAUCUUUAGUUUUUGUCUGGGGCAGAUCAUAAUAGUUUAUUUAUGAGUUAGACCCUAACACAGGUUUAUUGGAGUAAGUUACCCCGGGGAUAACAGUGUAAUAGUGAAUUAGAGACCUUAUCGAAUUUACUGAUUGCUACCUCGAUGUUGACUUAGGUUAAAACUUAUGCGCAGCAGUUUAAGUUUUUGGUCUGUUCGACCAUAUCAUACCUCCAUGAGUUGAGUUAAGACCGGCGUAA
rnacentral:rRNA from 1 species